UACGUAAGGGGUAGACGUUAGCGUGAAUUACUGGGCGUAAAGCGUGCGCAGGCGGUGAUGUAAGACAGGUGUGAAAUCCCCGGGCUUAACCUGGGAACUGCAUUUGUGACUGCAUCGCUGGAGUGCGGCAGAGGGGGAUGGAAUUCCGCGUGUAGCAGUGAAAUGCGUAGAUAUGCGGAGGAACACCGAUGGCGAAGGCAAUCCCCUGGGCCUGCACUGACGCUCAUGCACGAAAGCGUGGGGAGCAAACAGG
rnacentral:rRNA from 1 species